rnacentral:rRNA from 1 species
AGAGCGAACGCUGGCGGCAGGCCUAAUACAUGCAAGUCGAACGGAUCCUUCGGGAUUAGUGGCGGACGGGUGAGUAACACGUGGGAACGUGCCCUUUGGUUCGGAACAACUCAGGGAAACUUGAGCUAAUACCGAAUGUGCCCUUCGGGGGAAAGAUUUAUCGCCAUUGGAGCGGCCCGCGUCUGAUUAGCUAGUUGGUGAGGUAAAGGCUCACCAAGGCGACGAUCAGUAGCUGGUCUGAGAGGAUGAUCAGCCACACUGGGACUGAGACACGGCCCAGACUCCUACGGGAGGCAGCAGUAGGGAAUCUUGCGCAAUGGGCGAAAGCCUGACGCAGCCAUGCCGCGUGAAUGAUGAAGGUCUUAGGAUUGUAAACUGCUUUUCUCGGGGAGAGAAUGGACGGUACCCGAGGAAUCAGCCCCGGCUAACUACGUGCCAGCAGCCGC